CCCUUAGAUGUUCUGGGCCGCACACGCGCUACACUGAUGCAUUCAACGAGUCUAAAACCUGCUCUGAUAGGGGUGGGUAAUCUUUUGAAUGUGCAUCGUGAUUGGGAUAGAUGAUUGCAAUUUUUCAUCUUCAACGAGGAAUGCCUAGUAAACGCAAGUCAUCAGCUUGCAUUGAUUACGUCCCUGCCCUUUGUACACACCGCCCGUCGCUCCUACCGAUUGAAUGAUCCGAUGAAUAUCAUGGAUUGAGGAUGCAAGCAGGUUCGCCUGUCUUCAUCUUCGAGAAGUGAAGUAAAGCUUAUCAUUUAGAGGAAGGAGAAGUCGUAACA
rnacentral:rRNA from 1 species